rnacentral:lncRNA from 1 species
CAUCUGGUUAUUUUAUAUUUACAUCUGAAUCUUAUAUAUUAGGACCGUAAUAAGCAAACCAUUCUCCCAUGCUGACUUGCCUCACUUGGUGUACUCGGGUCUUGUGCAGGGCUGUCUGUCUUUCCUCCAGCAGCACAGAAACUGGGUGCAGCAGAAACACUGCCAAUAGCUGCUUGCUAUAAAAAGCUAAUAGUCCUUCGUGAGCCAUGAGAGGAAUAACAGGAAUAGAGCCUAAACUCUGGACUGCUUGCACUGCCCUUUGAUGAAACUGUGCCCUGACACCAGGAUGGAUCCUGAUUGUGGAAACCCCAGAUGUAUGAAUGAGGACAGUCACCUUGAGAAGUAUCCCUGAAGUCUGGCAAGGAGAAGCUGCACAAUCUGUGCUGUACCACAGCGGCUGAAGGUUUUGGCUGCCAUCCUCUGCAGGGAAACGAAGGCACAGAGAUGCUGAAGGACACAUCCCAGUUUUAUAAUUUCCUACGUGCUGGAAGUAGGACAGAUGAAUGCUAUGAAAUGCUUAGCAUCACUUUCCCUGGAAGAGAAAGUGAAAUUCAGGAAGGUGGAUCAGGAAAACAGCAUUCUCCUGCCACAGGGAAACAUGGAAAAGUGCAGAAAGGGACAAGCAGGAGAUUUCCUUGGCCUUUUGGAACAUUCCCAGCUACUGAGGGCACUGUCAUACUAUGUGGCAUAUCUGGCACAAACAAAUAUUCUCAGUUUAUUCAGCAAAGAAGACAAUCACCUAUGGCAUCCUUCUGCUGCUCUGGAUGUACAGCUACCCAUGCUUCAGAAGAGAAAACUCCAGUAUUGCUACUCUCAUACAGGUUCAACAGAGGAAGAACAAACCCAUUGCAACAGCAAAAAGAAUCUCUUCAGCAGCUGAGAUCUCUUCACUUGUGGGUAGAAAGCACAGAGAAAUAAAUAUCGCAAGAAUGGCGCUAAGGAUAAGAUAGACCUAUUUAUAUUUAAUAGGACUUUGCAGACUUCUGUGGCCUGAUUGCAGUGACAUGGUGUGCAAAUGAUAUAAUUUCUUUGGAUUAAAAGGAGUUUCUCUUUUAUUUGGAGUUAGCCAGAAAAAGCUCUGAAAUCACCAGAUUGUACUGCUAUUUAUCGGGAAAAUUCUUAUUGGAAACAUCUGAGUUUAUCCCUUCAGGCAUAGUUAGGCCAUAUGUAGUCAUAGCAUUUCAAAUUUUGCUUGGAGCAUAAAUAUGAGGCUAGACAAUUGAAAAAGAGUCUUUAUACAUCCUUACAAUUUAUGUUUUAGCAUAUAAUGAGCAAGUGUUCCCAUGUAUGAAGAUUAGGUACUUAUUUCCUCUGAAAGCCAAUGGUCAUGGAUUUUCUCAUCAUAAACGGUGUACUUUCAUUUCCUCUCUUGCUCUUUGUAUGCACCUCUCCAUUGUUAAACAAUUAAGUAGCAGAAGCUGUUAAUAUUAUGUUAAAAAAUUCAUCCUAUUUCACGGGUUUUUUCCAGUCUUGUUACACUAUUUUCAUGUGAAAACAUGGGUGAAAACACUUAGCAAAACAAAAGAUGCAAAAUAUCAGAAGUAGGACAUUUGUAGAUAAGCUUCAAAACCUAUUGCCAUAGGAAUUAAAGAAUGAAAACCAUCAACACGUUGUAUCUUCUAAGAGUUUUUUCUUGUAUAUAUAUGAACAUUUGUUCUGCUUUAAAAGAUGUAUGUGUAUGAAGCGUUUCUCAAUAAAAAGCAUCAAAAUCAUGCA